GUUACCGUUUUCACCCUCGGGUGACAGGGUGACAGGUGGUGCAUGGUUGUCGUCAGCUCGUGUCGUGAGAUGUUGGGUUAAGUCCCGCAACGAGCGCAACCCUCGCCUCUAGUUGCCAGCAUUCGGUUGGGCACUCUAGAGGGACUGCCGGCGACAAGUCGGAGGAAGUGGGAUGACGUCAAAUCAUCAUGCCCCUUAUGACCUGGGCUACACACGUGCUACAAUGGGCGGUACAAAGGGCUGCGAACCCGCGAGGGGGAGCGAAUCCCAAAAAGCCGCUCUCAGUUCGGAUUGCAGGCUGCAACUCGCCUGCAUGAAGCCGGAAUCGCUAGUAAUCGCGGAUCAGCAUGCCGCGGUGAAUACGUUCCCGGGCCUU
rnacentral:rRNA from 1 species